GCCUGGGUGGCUCAGUCGGUUGAGCGUCUGACUUCAGCUCAGGUCAUGAUCUCACGGUCUGUGAGUUCGAGCCCCGCAUCGGGCU
rnacentral:tRNA from 1 species